rnacentral:lncRNA from 1 species
UACAAGCACUUUUGGAGGAGUUGCCUGGUCAGUUUUUGACCUACAUGCGCUGUAGAGAUAUCAAACCACUCAAUGUUCAGAUGGCCCAAACAUGCGCUUGAGUAAAUAUUCAUAUGUUUGGAAAGGAUACAAAAACAAACCAAAUAUAUUAGACAAGACCAAGCCAAACAUAUUAGGCUAUACAAACAUAACAUAGCAGACAUUGAUAAUGGUACAUUACAUAUGUUAGGAUAUAGCGGUUUUAGACGAUGGUAAAUUACAUAUGUUAAGAUAGAGUGGUUUGUAACUAACUUUUGAUGGCUUAAUGAAUUGAUUGAAUUUGUAUUUAGGUUCUAUCAAUGAUCUCAUAUUCUUCCCAUCCAUGUCUUUCGAUUUUUAUUAUUCCCUCUACCCACUUUUUUCACAAUUGUUUGUGUCUGAUGGCUUAAAACUCCAAUUUCUGUUGCUCAUAAACUACUACACCAGCAAUCUAACACAUGGCUCACGUGCACACUAGACAAGUCUGAUUCACACAUCUUUAAAGUGUUGUAUUAUAACUCUCUGAAACUGGGUUUGAGUAAUCAAGAAUAGCCAAAAUGUAGAACAGUGACAAUAAAAAAUGAAGACCCUCUUACAGUCUUAACUUGAUAGAAGAAAACACGAGCUACAUACCAUGUCUCACAAAUUUCAAAGAAAAUUGGCCUCAUUCCUGAUGCUGCACAGAAGGCUGGCCUGAAUCAUCUUUAAGAAAGCUCAUUUAUUACAUUAAUACAUUAUAUCAGUGAGAUGAUGCUACUUUAAUGAAACUCAUGUCUCAAGUUAGGAACAGCUACAUGGGCAUUUCAUCGAACAGUUGAUAUGCUCGGCAGAUAAUCGAAGUUUCCUGGAAGUCGGAAGUGCUGCUGGCAUUUUCAAAGUUGGAAGACCAUUCAAAGGUUUUCAAUAGUUAGUUUGAUAUUACACGUGUGAUAAUCUUGUGAUGAUGAUGAUUUUAUGUAUCUGAUUGUAAGCUAAGCUCAGUGGAUUUGUAAGUAAGCACACGGAAAAGUAUUUAAUCUUCUUAUUGUCGCAUUCUUCUAAUCUUAGCUUUCACCAACAAAAAUAAUUAAUAAUAAUGUAAAUGGAGGAACUUGGGAUCAUUAAUAUCAGUAAAC